AAACUGCGAUAAGUAGUGUGAAUUGCAUUUAGUGAAUCAUCGAAUCUUUGAACGCACCUUGCACUCACUGGUAUUCCGGUGAGUACGCCUGUUUCAGUAUCAUUGAAAACACACAAUCAAAACAUUGUCUUUGGUUUGAUUGGCUUUGGGUCUAUCAAAAAGUUUGGCUUGUUUCUUACAAGCCAAGCGGCCUGAAAUAUAUUGUCUGGCUAAUUGCAUCGUUGAUGAUCGCUAUUAGACUUUGGCUUUUUUAAAUGAACUGGAGGUUGAUUAACCAGUUUUAGCUUUAGUCAAAUGGUCAUUGUAAAAAAAAUCUCGAUCUUGGCUAGGUGUUUAUAGCCGAAAAUUUUUUUUUGGCUAUAACCGAAACCAAUAUAAUCACAUUUAGUUAUCGAUCUGAAAUCAGGUGGGACUACCCGCUGAACUUAAGC
rnacentral:misc_RNA from 1 species